rnacentral:rRNA from 1 species
AACGAACGCUGGCGGCAUGCCUAACACAUGCAAGUCGAACGAGACCUUCGGGUCUAGUGGCGCACGGGUGCGUAACGCGUGGGAACCUGCCCUUAGGCUCGGAAUAACUCCCCGAAAGGGGUGCUAAUACCGGAUAAUGUAUUCGGAUCAAAUAUUUAUCGCCUUUGGAUGGGCCCGCGUUGGAUUAGCUAGUUGGUAGGGUAAAAGCCUACCAAGGCGACGAUCCAUAGCUGGUCUGAGAGGAUGAUCCGCCACACUGGGACUGAGACACGGCCCAGACUCCUACGGGAGGCAGCAGUGGGGAAUAUUGGACAAUGGGCGAAAGCCUGAUCCAGCAAUGCCGCGUGAGUGAUGAAGGCCUUAGGGUUGUAAAGCUCUUUUACCCGGGAUGAUAAUGACAGUACCGGGAGAAUAAGCUCCGGCUAACUCCGUG